CGGGAGUUGCAUGGUCUGCAGCUGCCGCUCCUCCCAGUUGCGCUUCGCUGCGCAAAGGACCUCGAUCUAUCAACUAAUAAAACAUUAUGUACCAUUACGUAAUGGCGCAAAGGACCUCGAUCUCCUCCCAUUAGGCCAAUUUGGUAUCAGGUAACCGGGUUUCGACCAUGUCUCCGCCAAUUCCACCGCCACCACCACCGCUGCCCGCCAACUCCUCCACCACCGCCGCCUCUGCGCCGGGCGUCACGGCACCCGGCACCACGCCGGGCCAAGGGCAGCCACAGGCCCCCGUCCAACACUCGUCGCCGCCAUCACCUCCCCCGCAGCCGCAAUAGUUCACGCCGGAGGCCACGGCGGGCGUCCUCAACGACCUCGUCACCGCGGUUCAAGGAAUCCGCCUCUACCUAGCAGGUCCGUACGGGCCGCCCCCACCACUCCAUCCAGCCAUGGCCGCGGGUCAGCAGGCGCUUCCGUGGUACUCGGCAUCGGGGGCCAUCACCGGACUUCAUCCAGCCAUGGCUGCGGGUCAGCAGGCGCUUCCGUGGUACUCGGCAUCGGGGGCCGUCACCGGAGGCUACCCGGCGCUCCCCGCCCCAGCGGCCGCACAGCCGCCUUGGGCGCAGUGGCCGCCGCAGAUCGCGCCGGCAGCCCCGCCACUUCUCGCCACCACGGGGCCGCAGUGGCCCACAUGGACCGCGCCGGCCGCGCCGUCCUCCGUCGCGCCCUACCUUCCAGCGGCCUCAGAGCAGGGUCCUCCACCGGCCCUGCCCAGCCCUAACCUGGGCACCGGCGCCUCGGAGCAGGGCCAGACCCAGCAGCUUCUUCCGGCGUCACCGCCGGCCCCCACGCCGCAGGUGCCGGUGCAGCUCCACCAGGCGCCGCCGCCAUCGACAGUACCACCACCCGCGCCUAGGGCUAUGGGUCGGCCCCUGCACCAGGUGCAGUUUCCACCGUCACCAUCGCCGAUCCCUGCUUGGGCGACCGGCUCGUCUUCGGGGCCGGUCUACUCCACGGCGCCGGAACACCCGACGCCCUCCCUGCGGUUUGAUCACCCCUCCAGCUCGGCGAACUACGCCCCGGCGCUUCCCGACCCAGCAUACGCGCCGACGGCAACUACGGCCGCCCCCGGGCACGGCGGGCCGACACCCCCUCGCUUCGCCAAACUGGACUUCGCCACCUACGAGGGCACGGAGGACCCCCUCAACUGGCUCAACCAGUGCGAGCAGUUCUUUCGAGGGCAGCGGACGCUCGCUUCGGAUCGCACCUGGCUCGCGUCCUAUCAUCUUCGAGGCGCAGCGCAGACCUGGUACUACGCCCUCGAGCAGGACGAGGGCGGCAUGCCACCAUGAGAGCGCUUCCAGGAACUCUAUCUCCUCCAGUUCGGGCCUCCUAUGCGCGGGAGCCGACUGGCGGCCCUCCGCCGCUUACCCUUCACAUCCACGGUGCAGGACUACGCCGACCGCUUCCAGGCCCUGGCGUGCCACGCGCCGGGCGUCUCCGCAACUCAGCGCGCCGAGUUAUUUGUGGGCGGUCUACCGGACCAUAUCCGCGUCGACGUGGAGCUUCGGGGACCCCAGGAUCUCCAGUCGGCCAUGCAUUACGCCCGCGCAUUCGAGCGCCACGCGGUGGCCAUCCAGCAGGAAUCACCGUCCCAGACUGUUGGGUCGCUACCCGGACCGGAUUCCGCGCAGGGUCGGCCUGUGCAGGCUUCUGUGGCACCCCUCGCCGCGACCGCGGGGCGCCCGUUCUACCGGCUCACCCCAGUUGAGAUACUCGAGCGUCGCCGCCAAGGGUUGUGCUUCAACUGCGACAAACCCUACAAGCCCGGCCACGCCUGCCCGCGACUCUUCUACCUGGAGGUGGCAAACUACAUUCCGGAGGACGCCGUCGCCGCCGACCUGGCCGCCCCAGAUGUCGAGAAGGUGUUUGACGCUGGUUGAUUACCUCGAAGAGUUCAAGCAAGCGCUUCCCCACCUUAUAGCUCGAGGACGAGCUAUUUGUGCAGGCGGGGAGAAGUGUUAUGGCCGGCCGGCUUAGGCCCGCAAGUUAUCUUAGUUUUUAUUUUCAGAUUAGGCAAGUUAUCUUAGGCAAGUUAUCUUAGGUUGAUUCUUCUACAAGUUAUCUUAGGUUGAUUCUUCUACAAGUUAUCUGGGAUAUAAAUAUAGGUUGUAAGACUCUUUUGAAGGCAAGCAAUAAGAAGAAUAUUAUCUCCUAUUGCCCGGCUCCCUGAGGAGCCGGAACCCUAGCCGCCAACAGCCCUAGCCGCCGCCCUUCUCCUAGCCGCGACGGCGCCCUGCCGCCAGCGCGCCCGAUCCUCGCCACGUCUCCCUCCAUCCUUCCCUUACCACCUACGCCCUAGACCUGGUAGAGUACUUGAUCCUACCAGGAUCAUUUUCCCAAUAGCACCCAGUUAGAUCUUGUUUGGGGUGACCUCUCCUGACCUCCUCCCAGGUUCCCGGUCUGGAGCGGGAGGGGCGGAAGCUGGCGAGGCCAACCUCCCCUUCAGAGGCAGGUGCUCUCCCUCUCCCCUCUGUGCCCUCUCUCUCUUCCCUGACCCUCUCGAUGGCAAGAGGUUUGGUUUUGGUUUUGCUCCUAGGAGAAGGAGGUUUGAUUUUGGUCCUACUCUACAUUCACUAUUGUUACCUGCACUUUGCCACUCAUGGACACUUUUUGUUUAUUUUUUAUGCAUGUGUGCUGUCGGUGAUAGGAGAGCAAGUCCCUCAAGUUCGUGAGGAAUCCACUCUCAACUUGUUAACACAGGGGUGCUCAACAGGAGAAGCACUCAAUAGGAGAAGCAGGAGCAGCCGAGCGUUCGCCUUCUCUCCCAGUCCCCUACUCACAGAGCUUCUCAUUUUGUUUUUGUAGAUUUGGUUUCUCUAUGUCUACAGGUUGUUUGAUAAAAAUCCAAAAAGGCUGAUAUGAGAUAAUUAAUCUAUGCAAGUCAUGUGAUUUUAUUUUUCUAUAAUUUAGUUCCAGUCAAAGAUAACAAGUUGAGUAGUCCCAUUAAUUUUUCGCAAUUUAGGUAUUGAAGGAGAUCAGAAUGCUUUUAUUUGUAUUUACAUCAUGGGCUUUAUUAUAGAACAACCACAAUGGAGAAAAUUAUCUCAUAUCUUUUGGAUGAUUUGGUUUAAUUGGCUAUUAUACAUGUUCAAGUACAGAAAUGAAUAAUUGCAGCUCCUUCCCGAUUAGGUCGGGUUAAAUGCUUCCCGAAUACAAAUGGUCUCAGGAAAAAGGCAAAUAUGCAAUAAUUUUGUGUUUUUUCAAAGUAAGUAGAGUGGGUUACUACUAAACGAGAGGGCGGGUAGUCAUUUCUUACUUCUGUAAAUAGAAAUCCAAUUGUCUCUUAUUAUGUGUAGGCAUAAAGUUGGAUCUUGGGUGCUUUGCAAGGCCUUUCUAUGUUGUUUUCCUAUUUAUUUUAUUUAUUGUGCUUCCCUUUUUUGGACUACAAUGUACUGGGAGGUGAGGAAAUGAGAUUGAACUACGUGUUUUCUUUUCAGGUAUAUUUGAAGUUAACGAGUUUCCAAUUCCUUGUUGUUGUUAAUGAUAUGAAAGUGCAACCGUGGUUUUUGCUCCCAGCUGAUGCAUACUACUUUGCUUGCAGCUAUCAUCAGCCAUUGUUGAUGGUACUGUCCCUUUUUGAGAACCAAAGAAAUACUGAGUUUUAGCUCAGAUGUAUGUUAGGUGAUGUUUCAUGCCAUUUUUGUUCAUCGGUCUGGCAUGAUUUGGAUUGGAUCACCUGCGGAGGCAGGUUUCAUCACCUCGGACAGAGGGAGUAUAUGAUGUAAUUGACCAUUAUCACUAAGAAGUGCUCCUCGACACAAUGCUCUAUAUUAUCAUGUCUUUAGUGCAUUUUAUUGUUCCACCUGCGUAUAUAGCUACUUGAAUCUUCUAAUUGCAAACUCAAACAUUUGCAUUUUGUUCUUUGUUUCAGUUGGGCUUUUGCGUCAAUUUUAUCAGUUACAUACAUUACAAAUGAGAAAAAUAUAUUUUUAUACAGAUUCACACACUUCGCAAAAGAGUAUACAUCAACAUCGUCUGCUACCAAAAAAAGCAAAGUAAUCUCUUUUAAUUCUUGCUUCAAAUUUGUCUCGCACGCCAAAUGGCG
rnacentral:rRNA from 1 species